GACGAACGCUGGCGGCGUGCUUAACACAUGCAAGUCGAACGGAAAAGCCCUGCUUUUGUGGGGUGCUCGAGUGGCGAACGGGUGAGUAACACGUGAGUAACCUGCCCUUGACUUUGGGAUAACUUCAGGAAACUGGGGCUAAUACCGGAUAGGAGCUCCUGCUGCAUGGUGGGGGUUGGAAAGUUUCGGCGGUUGGGGAUGGACUCGCGGCUUAUCAGCUUGUUGGUGGGGUAGUGGCUUACCAAGGCUUUGACGGGUAGCCGGCCUGAGAGGGUGACCGGCCACAUUGGGACUGAGAUACGGCCCAGACUCCUACGGGAGGCAGAAGUGGGGAAUAUUGCACAAUGGGCGGAAGCCUGAGGCAGCAACGCCGCGUGCGGGAUGACGGCCUUCGGGUUGUAAACCGCUUUCGCCUGUGACGAAGCGUGAGUGACGGUAAUGGGUAAAGAAGCACCGGCUAACUACGUG
rnacentral:rRNA from 1 species